AGAGUUUGAUCCUGGCUCAGGACGAACGCUGGCGGCGUGCCUAACACAUGCAAGUCGAGCGGAGAUACAGCAAUGUAUUUUAGCGGCGGACGGGUGAGUAACACGUGGGCAACCUGCCCUACAGUGGGGGAUAGCCAACCGAAAGGUUGAUUAAUACCGCAUAACACUAAGAUAUCGCAUGAUAUUUUAGUCAAAGGAGAAAUCCGCUGAAGGAGGGGCCCGCGUCCCAUUAGCUAGUUGGUGAGGUAGAGGCUCACCAAGGCGACGAUGGGUAGCCGAUCUGAGAGGAUGAACGGCCACAUUGGAACUGAGACACGGUCCAGACUCCUACGGGAGGCAGCAGUGGGGAAUAUUGCGCAAUGGGGGAAACCCUGACGCAGCAACGCCGCGUGAAGGAUGAAGGCCUUCGGGUCGUAAACUUCUUUGAUCAGGGAUGAUAAUGACAGUACCUGAAAAACAAGCCACGGCUAACUACGUGCCAGCAGCCGCGGUAAUACGUAGGUGGCGAGCGUUGUCCGGAAUUACUGGGCGUAAAGGGUGCGUAGGUGGACAUUUAAGUCAGAUGUGAAAUUCCGAGGCUCAACUUCGGAACUGCAUUUGAAACUGGAUGUCUAGAGUGCAGGAGAGGAAAGUGGAAUUCCUAGUGUAGCGGUGAAAUGCGUAGAUAUUAGGAAGAACACCAGUGGCGAAGGCGACUUUCUGGACUGUAACUGACACUGAGGCACGAAAGCGUGGGGAGCAAACAGGAUUAGAUACCCUGGUAGUCCACGCUGUAAACGAUGAGUGCUAGGUGUAGGGGGUAUCGACACCCUCUGUGCCGCAGCAAACGCAAUAAGCACUCCGCCUGGGGAGUACGGUCGCAAGACUAAAACUCAAAGGAAUUGACGG
rnacentral:rRNA from 1 species